CCUACGGGUGGCAGCAGUAGGGAAUCUUCCACAAUGGGCGAAAGCCUGAUGGAGCAACGCCGCGUGGGUGAAGAAGGUCUUCGGAUCGUAAAACCCUGUUGUUAGAGAAGAAAGUGCGUGAGAGUAACUGUUCACGUUUCGACGGUAUCUAACCAGACAGCCACGGCUAACUACGUGCAAGCAGCCGCGGUAAUACGUAGGUGGCAAGCGUUAUCCGGAUUUAUUGGGCGUAAAGGGAACGCAGUCGGUCUUUUAAGUCUGAUGUGAAAGCCUUCGGCUUAACCGGAGUAGUGCAUUGGAAACUGGGAGACGUGAGUGCAGAAGAGGAGAGUGGAACUCCAUGUGUAGCGGUGAAAUGCGUAGAUAUAGGGAAGAACACCAGUGGCGAAAGCGGCUCUCUGGUCUGUAACUGACGCUGAGGUUCGAAAGCGUGGGUAGCAAACAGGAUUAGAUACCCUAGUAGUC
rnacentral:rRNA from 1 species